GCCUCGGCGGAUCAGCCCGCUCCCGGUAAAACGGGACGGCCCGCCAGAGGACCCCUAAACUCUGUUUCUAUAUGUAACUUCUGAGUAAAACCAUAAAUAAAUCAAAACUUUCAACAACGGAUCUCUUGGUUCUGGCAUCGAUGAAGAACGCAGCAAAAUGCGAUAAGUAAUGUGAAUUGCAGAAUUCAGUGAAUCAUCGAAUCUUUGAACGCACAUUGCGCCCGCCAGUAUUCUGGCGGGCAUGCCUGUUCGAGCGUCAUUUCAACCCUCAAGCACAGCUUGGUGUUGGGACUCGCGUUAAUUCGCGUUCCCCAAAUUGAUUGGCGGUCACGUCGAGCUUCCAUAGCGUAGUAGUAAAACCCUCGUUACUGGUAAUCGUCGCGGCCACGCCGUUAAACCCCAACUUCUGAAUGUUGACCUCGGAUCAGGUAGGAAUACCCGCUGAACUUAA
rnacentral:rRNA from 1 species